GGGUUGUGAGGUUAAGCGACUAAGCGUACACGGUGGAUGCCCUGGCAGUCAGAGGCGAUGAAGGACGUGCUAAUCUGCGAUAAGCGCCGGUAAGGUGAUAUGAACCGUUAUAACCGGCGAUUUCCGAAUGGGGAAACCCAGUGUGACUCGUCACACUAUCAUUAACUGAAUCCAUAGGUUAAUGAGGCGAACCGGGGGAACUGAAACAUCUAAGUACCCCGAGGAAAAGAAAUCAACCGAGAUUCCCCCAGUAGCGGCGAGCGAACGGGGAGGAGCCCAGAGCCUGAAUCAGCAUGUGUGUUAGUGGAAGCGUCUGGAAAGGCGCGCGAUACAGGGUGACAGCCCCGUACACAAAAGCGCAUGUGUUGUGAGCUCGAUGAGUAGGGCGGGACACGUGGUAUCCUGUCUGAAUAUGGGGGGACCAUCCUCCAAGGCUAAAUACUCCUGACUGACCGAUAGUGAACCAGUACCGUGAGGGAAAGGCGAAAAGAACCCCGGCGAGGGGAGUGAAAAAGAACCUGAAACCGUGUACGUACAAGCAGUGGGAGCACCCUUCGGGGUGUGACUGCGUACCUUUUGUAUAAUGGGUCAGCGACUUAUAUUCUGUAGCAAGGUUAACCGAAUAGGGGAGCCG
rnacentral:rRNA from 2 species